AACUGCGAGUGAAGCGGGAAAAGCUCAAAUUUAAAAUCUGGCGGUCUUUUGGCCGUCCGAGUUGUAAUUUAGAGAAGCGUCUUCCGCGCCGGACUGUGCACAAGUCUCCUGGAAUGGAGCGUCAUAGAGGGUGAGAAUCCCGUCUUUGGCACAGACACCCGGGGCUUCUGUGAUGCGCUCUCGAAGAGUCGAGUUGUUUGGGAAUGCAGCUCAAAAUGGGUGGUGAACUCCAUCUAAAGCUAAAUAUUGGCGAGAGACCGAUAGCGAACAAGUACCGUGAGGGAAAGAUGAAAAGCACUUUGGAAAGAGAGUGAAACAGUACGUGAAAUUGUUGAAAGGGAAACGCUUGAAGUCAGUCGCGUCGACCGAGACUCAGCCUCGCCUGGGCUUGGCGUACUUCUCGGCUGACGGGCCAGCAUCAAUUUUGCCCCUCGGAUAAUGGCAAGGGAAAGGUGGCACCUUCACAGGUGUGUUAUAGUCCUCUGUCGCAUGCGAGGGGUGGGAUUGAGGAACUCAGUGUGCGCCUCUUGGCGUCGGGGCUUCGGCCC
rnacentral:rRNA from 1 species